rnacentral:lncRNA from 1 species
UUUUUUUUUUGUUUGUCUUUUUUGUUGUUGCUGUUGUUGUUGUUGCUAUUUCUUGGGCCGCUCCCGCGGCAUAUGGAGGUUCCCAGGCUAGGGGUUGAAUCGGAGCUGCAGCCACCGGCCUACGCCAGAGCCACAGCAACUCGGGAUCCGAGCCGCGUCUGCAACCUACACCACAGCUCACGGCAACGCCGGAUCGUUAACCCACUGAGCAAGGGCAGGGACCGAACCCGCAACCUCAUGGUUCCUAGUCGGAUUCGUUAACCACUGCGCCACGACGGGAACUCCUGAGUUACGACUUUUCGACUUUACAGUACUGCAAAAGCAAUAUGCAUUCAGUAGGAGCCAUACUUCUUUGAAUUUUGAAUUGUCAUCUUUUCCUGGAUGGCAAUUUAUGAUACAAUGCUCCCUAGUGAUGCUGGGGCAGGGCAGCCGCAGCUCUGAGUCAGUCACGUGAUCACAGGAGUAAAGAAAUGAUACACUUCCAACCAUUCUGGACUCAGACAACAUCCACUUUCAGUACAGUAUUCAAUCAAUUACAUGAGAUAUUCAACACAUUAAUACAAAGAGACAUUGUGUUAGAUGAUUUUGCCCAACUGUAGGCUAAUGUUAAGUGUUCUGAGCAUGUUUAAUGUAGGCUAGGUUAUGAUGUUCUGUAGGUUAGGUGUGUUAAAUGCAUUUUCAGCUUAUGAUGGGUUUAUCAGGGUGGAACCCUAUUAUCAGUGGAGGAAGAUCUGUAUGUGGACAUCCAAAAAUUGAGUGUCCAAUAGGUCCACUUGGUCCUGGAAUAUGAAUUUAGCAAGACAAAACCAACAACAAAACAAAACAUAAAUCAUAUUAUCAUACUGAUUUUUCACAUGAUCUAGAGACUCAUCCCUCUCUACAGGUAAUUGGAAAAACUUGGUUAAAAAAUGGAAAGGUUGAUAUUACAUCAGAGAUAUGUUAAACCAAAAAUCCAGUGAAGACUAAAUAACCACUUACAUCACUGCUAAUUGCAAAACUGACUCAUGAAAUAUGUCCCACAAAGAGAUCAGUAACAAAAGUAAACAUUGUUUUGGUACAGCCUUGAGGGUCUGGUCCUUUUUCUUGGCAUAUCCUAAAUAACUUCCUCUGUUAGGAUUUAAAAUACACCAAGAGAAAGAUGUAGGACUCCCAAGUUACAGUGAAGCAAUAUCUUUUUUUUUUUUUUUGUCUUUUUGCUAUUUCUUGGGCCGCUCCCAUGGCAUAUGGAGGUUCCCAGGCUAGGGGUCUAAUCAGAGCUGUAGCUACUGGCCUACGCCAGAGCCACAGCAACGUGGGAUCCGAGCCGCGUCUGCAACCUACACCACAGCUCACGGCAAUGCCGGAUCAUUAACCCACUGAGCAAGGGCAGGGACCGAACCCGCAACCUCAUGGUUCCUAGUCGGAUUCCUUAACCACUGUGCCACGACGGGAACUCCAAAGUUCCAGAACCAGGUAUUGAACCCAAGCCACAGCAAUGACAAUGCUGAAUAUUGAGCCUCUAGGCCACAGGGGACUCCAAUAUCAUUGUAACUAGCAUUUCCCCAGUACUACUACAUCAGUGGAUCACCUGGAUGAUGAUAUAACUUACUUUUUUCUUUAACUUUAACUCACCUCACUUUAUUUUUUUUUCUUCCUUUUUAGGGCUGCACCCAUGGCAUAUGGAAGUUCCCAGGCUAGGGGUCAAACUGGAGUUGCAGCUGCUGGCCUACACCAUAGCCACAGCAUCUCAGGAUCCACGCUGCAUCUGUUACCCACACCACAGCUUGCAGCAACGUAGAUCCUUUAACCCACUGAGUGAGGUUAGGGAUCUAACUCUCAUCCUCACAGAUACUAGUCGGGUUCUUAACCCACUGAGCCACAACGGGAACUCCUAACUCACCUUAUUUUAAAAAUAUGCCCUCUUUCUAAGCAGUAGCAUUGGUGAAAAUUGGCUUUUGUGUACUAAUUAUAUUUUGUUCUGAGGCUCACUAAAAGAAACACGUUAUUUCUUUAAAUGAGAAGCAUUUGUGUACUGCUUAAAAUCAUCUGCUAACCCCAGGAUUACAUCUAUGCCAUCACAUGAAGCAAUGUACAAGUAUCUAAACUUCUAAAACCAAUUAUAUUCAUCCUCAAAAUAUAAAAACGCAAGAAAGCUUUUAAUCUUUAACCUGACAAAGAUAAUACUAAGAAGUUAUGGAUCACUUGGAAAGUUAUUUUGGAGUUCGCUGAUGGCUCAGUGGGUUAAGGAUCCAGCAUUGUCACUGCUGUGGCUCAGGUCACGGCUGUGGCAUAGGUUCAAUCCCUGGUAUGGGAAGUUCUACAUGCUGUGGGUGCAAUGGAAAAAAAGUUAUGGCAGUUAUCACUCACUAACAUUAGAGCAAAGAAACAGCCCCCAAUCUUAACACAUAGAAAACAGCACAACAAGCAGCAAGGGCCUUGAACAGGUGGCAUGAAUGUGUUGUGGUCUUAAUCUACACUUUCUCUCACUACACCCAAUAGCUCAGAGGAGACAAUGCGGACAAAUGGGGUUUCCAGGGUUGGGGACAAAGAGGAAACAGUAACUAGCCAAGAGAGUGUUAAGACUCUAAGAUCAUCACAAGCACUGAAAUAGCAAUCCUUAGGGAGUUCUUGUUGUGGCUCAGCAGAAACGAAUAUGACUAGGAACCAUGAGGUUGCAGGUUUGAUCCCUGCCCUUGCUCAGUGUGUUAAGGACCCAGCAUUUCCUUGUGCUGUGGUGUAGGUCACAGACACGGCUUGGAUGCUGCAUUGCUGUGGCUGUGGUGUAGGCCAGCAGCAACAGCUCCAGUUAGAUCCCUAGCUUGGGAACCUCCAUAUGCUGCAGGUGAGGCCCUGGGGGGGGGGGGGGGGGAAAAAAAAAAAGGGAAUCCUUAAAUCCUUAGAAUCCACCCAGAGAGGCAAGUGGGAUAGUAGUGUCAUAAAUUGCUGGAAAAGUUUAAUCAUUGUAGCAUUAUUUAUUAUGGAAAAAAGAUUCAACAAGAGAAUAAUUUAAGUCCCUCAAAUUAUGAGGGACUGUUAUAGGGCCAUUAAAAAUGAAUUUUUAUAGAGUCACUUGUGGGGAGCUGGCUACAUGGUUCCCCAAUUAUGAAAAUCUUUCAAACUGUACACUUCAGAUUCAUCCAAGUUUCUGUGUAUCUGUUACACUUCACUGAUUUUAAGUGAGUGCUUUUAAUGGUUAGGGAAGUGAUUAUGGGAAUGUUCAAUUUUAAAAGGAGUUGGUUAAUGAAGUCUUUUAAAGUGCAACUUGCUCUCCGUAUCUGGCUAGGGGUAAUUUCUGCUUCUCUGAUUGGUUAAAAUCAGGACAUCUACUUCCUUGUCUUUCUAGUUGCAUCUUCUAGGAAGUGUUUCCUUUAGCUGGACAGUUUCAAGAGUGAGGCAAUGUGAGGGAAUUACUCCUGGGAGUAGUCUGUCUGCAGAGGCGAUCUUGGGACCCCAGAAGGGCAGAGAACAGAGUCUGCAUCUUCUGUCCUUGUUUCCUUUGUUAGCACUUAACUCUCUCAGUUCCUGGCUGCUUGACAGCGUUUUCUUUUUCUUUAUGGCCAAACCUGCAACAUAUGGAAGUUCCUAGGCUGGGGUUCAAAUUGGAGCUGCAGCUGAUCCCUAUGACAAAGUCCUGGCAACACCAGAUCCUUAACUCACUGAGUGAGGCUAGGGAUCAAACCUGCACCCACAUAGAGAGAAUAUCAAGUCCUUGAUCCACUGAGUCUCAAAGGGAACUCAGACAACUUAUUUUUUAUUUUUUGGCCACACCCAUGUGGAACUUCCUGGCCAGGGGUUGAACCACGCCACAGCAGUAACCGGAGUCACAGCAGUGACAACACUGAAUCUUUAAUCUCUAGGCCACCAGGGAACUCCUCUUUGGCAACUUUAGUUUCCAUUUCCCUCAGUUACUGAUUGUCACUCCCAGGACCCUGCCAUUGCCUCCCAGAUUCCCUUUGACACAUGGCCAAGUGCACCUGCUUCUUUUCCUCUUACUAUAAAUCUCAUGGCUCUGACCUUGCUUCUAGAACUGGCUUUGAUGUUUUUCUUCUCUUGUUUGAUCUAGAAGUGGCCCCAGCCCACCUUUGCUUUCUAGUUUUUCCUGGCUCCUAUGUUGACAAAUCAUGCUCAUCUUCUGCAAAUGCCAGUUAAAGGUCAGCAGCCUCUGACCUGUGGGCUAAAGCCCUGGACAAGUGAAUUAGAUUCUCUGGGCCAAGUAUUAGGGCUAUGCCCUCAGUGGGUAUACAUGUCCUGACUUCUGGCCUCUCACCUCCAUAUCAGCCAGAUUACUCUGAGGGGUUUGGUAGGAGCCCUUAAAGACCUGCCCCUCCAGGGGACCUCAUCUCACUGCGUGACACUAUCAUGUGAGAUUCUAGAGACUGGAAAUCCCGACAAGUGGGAUUAGCCAUGAUAACUGAAAAGCUCAGAAUGCUGGUGUUGAUGCAAAUAAUCGAACAACAAUCUCUAAUAAGGAGUAGAAGAGAGUUUUAUUCGAGCCAAGCUGGGCCUGGGAGUGCAGUCUCCACCAAAGAAGAAAGUGCUCGGGAGAAGCAUGGUUUUCACUACAGUUUUGUAUCUGGUCAGAACAGAGCCUACAUCAAACAUGACAGGGUUACACGUCUUCAAGGUUUCUACAGAUAGUACACAGUGAGUCAGCAUGACCCCUAAGAUAAUUAAUACUCCUUAUCUUCAAAGCAUUGGCAUCACAGGAAGAGGGGCUUAUAAGAGCAAAACCCACAAGGUUACAGUUAGUUAUAUGAGUUGUUUAUCAAGAAUUAUAACUGGGGAGUUCCCGUUGUGGCUCAGUGGUUAAGUAUCUUUGAGGACGAACGUUUGAUCCCUGGCUCUGCUCAGUGGGUUAAGGAUGGGGUAUUGCAGUGGCUGUGGUGUAGGCUGGCUCUGAUUUGACCUGUAGCCUGGGACCUUCCAGAUGCUAUGGGUGUGACCCUAAAAAUAAAAUAGCAUAUGACAAAGAUAAGUCAAAAUCUAUCCAUCUUAAUUUAUCCUAAGAAGUUGUUCAAUUGUGAACACUUUUAGAAACCAUCUUCAAAUGUUCUCUGUAAGUAGUAUGUAUACCGAGCUUUCAGGAAAAUCUGUCCUAUUGUGGGGAGGUUCACAAAUCUAUACAUGUUCACUGACAUUUAUGCCACAUUCUAUUUACAUAAUACCAAAUAACUGAUCUGACAAGAGAAAGACAUUUCUGAUAUUAAAUUCCAAGCUGUAAAUCAAGAUUACCAAAUUAUAAAGCAGUAAUGCUCUUUCAAACACAUAUGGAAAUACUCAUGCUCAUUCUAUAAUGCUGUAUUCUAUUUGAUAGUCCCUAUGGUUGUAAACUGCAGCAAAUUUCUUUCAUAGUGUUAGCCAUUUACUGGCUCCUAACAUAAAAAUUUCCUGAUUUCCCCCUAUUAGUAUUGCCUCUAAGCACACAAGGGAAAACAGAACUGUAAUUGAAAAAGGAAUGUUUUAUGGUCUUAAUUUCUCACUCGUGGGAACAGUUUUUGACUCCCGCUGUUUUGUUCUCUCCAACUGGAAUUUACAGGAUUAAGAGUUAACAUCUAAAUUGUUGUGACUACAGUAUAGAGUUCUAAACCCAGGGAUGAAUUCAGAUAAUCUUCAAAGACUGGAUGCAAAAUACACAGUACAAUGCUUCCUAUAAAAACAAACUGCAAAACUGUCUCCAUCUCUAGAGUUUCUGGCAACUGAAAACAGUGAAGAGAGAUAACAAACGGUGAAGAGAGAUUUAAGAUCUCAGAAGUUAGAUAGCGGUCUGUGACCCGGUGCUCCCUCUCACCACCCCCUUCUCAGAUAGACAGUUAACAAGGACAGUUUUUUUGGGGGUGCCUCACAGAAUGUGGAAGUUCCUGGGCCAGGAACUGAACCCAUGCCUCAGCAGCGACACCACCAGAUCGUUAACCUGCUGAGCCACAGGGCAACUCCAGAAUACUUAUUUUGCAGAAUAUGUACUCUUUCCAGGGACUGCCAGAAAAUUAGGAGGCCUGCAGUAAAAACAUGAGUUUUCAAAUCUUUUUUCUGUUUUGUCUUUUUUAGGGCCACACCCGAGGCAUAUGGAAGUUCCUAGGCUAGGAGUCAAAUUGGACCUGUAGUCACUGGCCUAUGCCAAAGCAAUUCGGGAUCCAAGCCACAUCUGCGACCUACCCCACAGCUCAUGGCAACGCUGGAUCCUUAACUCACUAAGUGAGGCCAGGAAUUGAACCUGAGUCCUCAUGGAUACUUCUCAGGUUUGUUACCACUGUUCCACCACAGAAACCCCUCUUUUUCUUUUUUUGGCCACACCCACAGCAUGUGGAAGUUCCCAGGGCUGGGGCUUGAACCUGAACCAUCACAGAGACAACAAUAGAUCAACGCUGUAUCUCCUAUUUGGGAGGAGUUCCUGUGUUACAGCAGGAACUCCUCCCAAAUAUUUUCUGUUGAAGAAUAACUUUGAAAACUCCCACCAAUUUUAUGUAUCAAAAGCCUGCUGAGGUCUAAAACAUACAUAUCACUUAAUAGUAAUGUUGCUUGCUACUUGUUAAAGUAGAUGUGCUGAUUUAAAGUUACCUGAAACUUAGGCAUCUAGUCACAUUCAAUAUAAAUAUUCUAGAGUUUACUUAAAAAAUCUGGACUAUUUUCACAAAGCUCCCAAAAAAUCAUAUUAAAGCAGACACUAAGAAUCUAUGACUUGACUUUUUUUUUUUUUUAAGUAUAAUGAGAUUAUAACUAGGACAAUUUAGGAAAAGAUUCAUGUUUGAUAAAGGAGAAUAGUAGUUUUCUCUGUUUAUAGUAUACCACACAGACGCUUUUUUUUUCCUUAAACUGUUUGAAAUGUUUGCAAAAAGCAAAAUGCUCUGAUGAAUAAUUAUAAAUAACAUGUAGUCAUAAAAAAGGUUCUGAAACUUUAAGAACAAGUAUAACACAACCUUGACUUUAGAUGGCCAGUAGUUUUUUUAUGUCAACAAGACCUUCCAUGGCUGAUUUUAUAAAAGGUUAGGUAAAAAUUCUACUCCCUGAGAUUAUCAAUCCUUUUACUAUAAUAGCCUAGGGCUUCGUUUUAUUUAUUACUAUGGCUUCAAUUUUAUUUUGGAAGUGAAACUUCUGCAAGUCUAACCUUAUAUCUAACAUCACCCUUGCUUUAUAUCACAUUAUGGGAUAAUACACUUCAGGAACUGAAGUGUGUUGUAUAUUUUCAUUUCAAAAACACCCACAAACUAAAACAGAUAUUUAAAAUCUUUAUUGUUUCAUCAUCAAAAGUUUUCUUUCCAUAGAAGAAUGGCAAUGCAGGAUCAGUGCACAUUCUAUGGAAAAUUCAUACCUUAAGUAACUAGCCUAGAAAUCGGAGACAGCACUAUGUCAAGCUAGUGUGCAAGGUCAGGGACACAAUGCUGCCAGUGCGAUUAGUAUACAGGAAGAAUACGCAGCUGUUAGAAAAAGAAUCUAUGGCCAAGUAAAUAAAACAGUAGCAGUGCCCUGCACUGACAUUCUAGAACAGAAAAUGGGGAAGGACCAGAAAAUGUACUUUCGGCAAAAACAAAAAAUUCAACAAAACUGAGUAGAUCACAGGCACUGAGUUCCCAACUGUGUUACCAGCUGCCUAGUCCACAUGGACCUGGCCCUUGCUCUUCAAAUCUACCACAGGGUCAUACCGUGAGCCAUUUUCAGCCUGUGUGUAAUGGUGCUGGCCACGUGCAGGCAUGUCAUGCUGCUUCCUAUCUCACAGCUAAAAGUAGCUACCUGGGUUAGGCAAUAAAACCUGUGGCAUUCAGACAUCUUUAGUAAAAAGCUGAACAAACUCAUACUUUGUUCCCAUUUUUGGAGAAAUCAACUUUAUAAAACAACGAAAGAUAGCUUGUCAUGAUUACUCAGUUUUGUCUGAAGGCAAAACUAUUGAUGUAAGUACACCAAACAAACAUACAAACAAAUGUCCUUAACAAAAUACCAUCAGGCCACCUUGAACAUCUGUAUAACUAGCUUCUGAAAAAAGCACUGAUAAUUGUGAGAUGCAGACGACCACUACAAUUUGAUCAUGCCUGGUUACUGGGAAUUUUUUGGUCAAGUUUGUGUCUGAAGCUGCUAUGCAGCUGAAUUUGGCUAUUCUGCAUUAAUUCACACAAUCAAGGCCAUUUAUAAAAGGAAACAGCAGAUCUAUGAGGGUGAAAGUAAAAAUCAACACAGCUGAGAGGUAUACAAGAAACGUGUCUUAAAUUUUUUAAAAUUACAUUACGAUAUAACCUUAGGGAAUAAGAAGUACAAUGACAUGGUCUAAAUCUUGAGCUAUUAAUACAUGAAUGACGUGUUAAUCACGUGAAGGCCUUGAAGGCAGGGGUACUCUGAAUGUAUGGUGUAGCAAUCACCUUCCAGGUGCAUUAAGCACCUCUAAUUUAACGUGUUAUUAAAUCAUACUGGAAAAGUUAUUUUACUCAAUAUAUACAAUGUAUAAAAUAAGUUAAAAAGAGGAAGCAGGGAAAGACUUUCUAUGUAGGAUGCAAACAUACAACUUUGCCAUGUCAGUAGUAGUCCCAUGUGUCCCUUUACUCACAUAAGACAUUAAAGGCUGAAAGAAGAUCAAAAAUUUCACUUAUAAAUAGAAACAGGAUUCAAAAAACAGAAUUCCAAUGCUGUUUCUUCCCACAAUGCAACUCACUCUACUUUAACUAUAAUAAACAUAAAUAAAAACCAU